GACGAACGCUGGCGGCGUGCUUAGCACAUGCAAGUCGAACGGAAAGGCCCUGCUUUUGUGGGGUGCUCGAGUGGCGAACGGGUGAGUAACACGUGAGUAACCUGCCCUUGACUUUGGGACAACUUCAGGAAACUGGGGCUAAUACCGGAUAGGAGCUCCUGCUGCAUGGUGGGGGUUGGAAAGUUUCGGCGGUUGGGGAUGGACUCGCGGCUUAUCAGCUUGUUGGUGGGGUAGUGGCUUACCAAGGCUUUGACGGGUAGCCGGCCUGAGAGGGUGACCGGCCACAUUGGGACUGAGAUACGGCCCAGACUCCUACGGGAGGCAGCAGUGGGGAAUAUUGCACAAUGGGCGGAAGCCUGAUGCAGCAACGCCGCGUGCGGGAUGACGGCCUUCGGGUUGUAAACCGCUUUCGCCUGUGACGAAGCGUGAGUGACGGUAAUGGGUAAAGAAGCACCGGCUAACUACGUG
rnacentral:rRNA from 1 species